UGUCUCUGUCUCUCUCUCUCUGGCCAGUCUCGCCCUCCUGGACAUUAUCUUUAACAACAGUGAAUACAACAUCUUCCACCAUCGCUCAAGGCGUGAUUACCCUCAAACAUAAAAUAUAAUUAUUGUCAUUAACUUUACGAAUGUUGAGGAAGUUAAUAAACGAGUUAGUGAGUGAAUCAGUUAAUUAACUUGAGGAGAGUAAUUAAGACAUCUUCGUGUAGGAUAAAUCUGUUCAUCUUGAGAGAGUGACAGCGUGGUGUAGUGGGAGACAGUUCACACCAGUCAGGAUAUAUACCAGCGUGUGAGGCCCUUCGCAGAUAAGAUGAAGUGCCUCAGUAACCUCGCCGUUUUCGCCAUCUUCUGCGGCUCCCUGACACCCACGUCACUAACAGAUCAAACAGCCGUCGCCACGUUCCUCAGUGAAGAGAAUCAAAACAAUAACAAACAUCAGCUGACGGACCAGAAUGACGCCACCACCACCACCACCACAAGACGCAAACGUUCUGUUUUCCACCUGUACAGUAUGAUGACGUGUGCCACCACCUGUAACCCGUUCGACUACAAAGGCUACGGCUGUUACUGUGGCUUCCUCGGCUCAGGAGUCGUAGUCGAUGGGAUUGACAAGUGUUGUAAGGGGCACGACUGGUGUUAUGAGCACGCUAGAUGCACAGGUUUUGAUCAUUACUUCACACCUUACAAGUGGAAGUGCAAUGGAGGGAAGCCAUAUUGUGUAACAACGAAGGGUCCAAAUGGGGCGGUCAACAGCUGCGGUCAUCAACUAUGCGAGUGUGACCGUGAGUUCGUGGAAUGCCUGAAGCAAUACCCGUGCCCCAAAACCAGGGCCAUGUGUAUGACGUCACCCUGGAGAAAUAUAAUUCACUUGGGUAAGUUUGGACGGUCGGCUUCAAUAGCGUUGCAGACUCUUCUCUAGCUGAGGGCCACUGUUUGACCCUUGUCUGCUGAGGUGAUUGUCUGCUGAACUGACUGUCUGCUAAACUGACUGUCUGCUAAACUGACUGUCUGCUACGGUUACUACUCAACUGACUGUCUGCUAAGGUUACUACUCAACUGACUGUCUGCUAAGGUUACUACUCAACCGACUGUCUGCUAAGGUUACUACUCAACUGACUGUCUGCUAAGGUUACCACUUAACUGAUUCUCUGUUGACGUGACUGUCUACUUGAGGUGACUAUCAAACUGACUUUACCAACCUUUCUUCCCGUUACUCCUCCUGUAACUACCAGGCCACGUAAAAGUGACCUAACUGCUUCUUCGUUCUUCCCCACCGAGAGUGACGCAAGCUACCUCAAAUAUUCACCCUCAAUAGUAACACCAUUACCUCAUGUUGUACCAAGUUGAUGAACAGGUAUGAUGAACAGGGUGAACAAGUAGAGAGAGAGGCACGAGAAGUCUUGAACAUCUUUAAAUUCGUGCACAGGUGAAAAUGACUGGUUUGAACAGGGUGAACAAGUAGAGAGAGAGGCACGAGAAGUUUUGAACAUCUUUAAAUUCGUGCACAGGUGAAAAUGACUGGUUUGAACAGGUGUUAUAGUAGAUGUGUACAGUUUUGAACACGGGUAUAGGUGUGAACAGGUUGAAAGUUGUUGAUGAUGAUGAUUGAUGAUUGAUGAUGAUGGAUGUUGGUUUAUAAUGACACAACUGCACAAACAAGACAUAUCAGACAAUUAUUAUUCUCUGAUUAUAAUCCUUAAACACAAACCGUUACCACCAUCAAACAACACAAAACAACAGAAUAAACAAGAGAAUCACAGGUUAAUUUAAGAUGUAAUAAUAAAUCAAAAGUGAGAGAUGCUGUAGGUGAAAUGUUGAUGUUUUUAAAGACUGUUAUUUACCCCAGAAAUAUGAAGAGCAUUCACAAGUGAGGGUAAAUAUAGUCACAGGAGUAUUUUCAUCUUAUAAAUGUAUCUAACAAUAAUUAUCUAACUUAUUGAGAUAUAGUAGGGAUAUAGGGCAUUAUAAGUUAUUCUAAAUUAUUCUAUUUUGUACAUACAUAACAAAAGUAUAUUAUUGCUUCUUCAGCUUUAUAUACGGGGUCCCUUAUUUUUUUGGAUUACAGGUGGGAUUCUUCCUUCAUUUGUAUAUAAAAAUGUGAACUUGUAAAAAAUGUAUAUUAUAUUGGUUUAGUUUUAACGAUGUAUAUAUUUAUUCCUCAAUAAAGAUGGUAUUGUAUAAUGAGUAUAAACAUCUCAUUUGUAUCAUGUGUCGUCAUAAUCUGGUGAAGUAAAGAUAACUUGAAA
rnacentral:misc_RNA from 1 species